rnacentral:rRNA from 1 species
UACGUAGGGGGCUAGCGUUGUCCGGAAUCAUUGGGCGUAAAGCGCGUGUAGGCGGCCCGGUAAGUCCGCUCUGAAAGUCGGGGGCUCAACCCUCGGAUGCGGGUGGAUACUGUCGGGCUUGAGUGCGGAAGAGGCGAGUGGAAUUCCUGGUGUAACGGUGAAAUGCGCAGAUAUCAGGAGGAACACCAAUUGCGAAGGCAGCUCGCUGGGACGUUACUGACGCUGAGACGCGAAAGCGUGGGGAGCAAACAGG